rnacentral:rRNA from 1 species
AGCAGCCGCGGUAAUUCCAGCUCCAAUAGCGUAUAUUAAAGUUGUUGCAGUUAAAAAGCUCGUAGUUGAAUUUCGGGGUUCUACCGUUGGUCGGGCUAUCCAGUCUGUACUAGCGUGUAUAAUUCCUACCUUCUGGGGAACCAUCAUGUUAUUAAUUUAGCGUGGUGGGAAACCAGGACCUUUACCUUGAAAAAAUUAGAGUGUUCAAAGCAGGCUUACGUCUGAAUACAUUAGCAUGGAAUAAUAGAAUAGGACGGUGGUCCUGUUUUGUUGGUUUCUGAAUCACCGUAAUGAUUAAUAGGGAUAGUUGGGGGCAUUAGUAUUCAAUUGUCAGAGGUGAAAUUCUUGGAUUUAUUGAAGACUAACUUCUGCGAAAGCAUUUGCCAAGGAUGUUUUCAUUAAUCAAGAACGAAAGUUAGGGGAUCGAAGACGAUCAGAUACCGUCGUAGU